UGAAGACUGUACUCAACAAAACUGGUUUUCUUUUUUGGGUGAAUGAGGCUACGUAAAGGGUGUUCGGAAAGAAUCUUUUAGAAAAAACAAAACAUUGGUUUCCCACAUUCCUUUCUGGGAACCCUGAUAUGAUACUGACACGUAGGCCUAUAACUGGUAUAAAAACAGAAGCCGCAACCCUCUUUUAGCAUUUAGUCCGGGUGCCUUGAAGAAAUGGAUUCAGAUGAUUGAAAAGUACAUGAGUUUGCGCCCCAGAAGUGGAAAAUGCAAUGCAUUUUAUCUCAGAUCAAAAAUCGCUCCUAAGGGGAAUGUAUGGUACGACGUCCCAGUCGGGGUACAUCAACUGCAAUAGAUUGUGGCCAAAAUGUUAAAGAGGCAGGAUUACAAAUCUCUCUUCGGGCUACUGCCGCUACACGCCUAUAUGCUGCGGGUGUUGAUGAGCAACUUAUAGCGGGAAAAAGUGGUUACAUGUCAUCUGUGAUUCGCAACUACAAACGCACCUCCGAGGAACAAUUACAGUCAGAAACCGCCCAGUGUCCCCGCCGGAGCCGAAGAAAGUGAAGCUCAAUGAAAGUGUUUCCUAUGGAUCAGAAAAGGAAAUAAACAUCACUGCCGGGGAUGUAACAGUGAAUUUGCGAUUUUAAUGUGCAUGUGUUUAAAUGAAUGAUUGUGACAUGGAUUUAUAACUGUGGUGCCUGAACGAUUUCAUACACGGUAAAAUCGGAUUAUACAUGAAAUACUCAUUUCGUAUAAUUUACUGGAAUAUUGUAUUUGUAUAAUAAAUGUUUUCUCGUACAACGA